GCCCUUCUUCUUCAUGCUUCUCUCUCACCCCUACCUCUCUUGUUUCUGCUCGUAUGGUCUUGAGAGCAGAAUCUCUUUCUUUUUUGUCCCUUCCAACCAACGUCCAUUCGUCUCCUCCAUAUCCACAUUUGCCUCAAGUCUAUAUAUAGCUGUCGCUUCUUAGCUGAACUCCUACAGGCUGCCGCCUGCCGCCUGCUGCCCUCCGUCAGUUCGCUCGACCUCUACCUGCCAGGGUAUCUAGCUAUCUUGAAAACAAACACAUCCAUCGAUUCUAUAACCAUCUCUCUCUCUGUGUCGCUUUCUCUUUCUCUCUCUGGCUCUCUCUCCCCCCUCCAGUUUCUCAAAAUCUCUCACUCGGUCUCUAAACUGGCUCAGACGAAAGCCAGGUUGUCCUCCAAACGGACUGGUGUUGCAAUAUGCAAACUUCACGAACAAGCGCGACGACGAAAAUUACGUACCAUCCCGCCUCUUGAGUGAUGAAUAAGUAAAUAAUAACGAUAAGGAUUCAAAGGAAGGAAGCGAAAGAAGAAGCUUGAAGAAGGGGAGGAAAAGAGGAAGAAUUGUCUUUUGGGAUUAUAUAUUGUUUUUCUUUCUUUUCUUUUUUUUUUAAAAAAAUAAUUAUUUUCUGUCGUUGUGUGAGCUGAGCGAUACGAAGCAGGUGAGCCCGACAUAUAAUUAAAUAAUAAUUAUAUGCGCAGUGCUCCACACCUAGGCAUAGAUUCCCAAGGGGGAGCUUUGACCCUUGGGGUGGUUAAGUUCUUGCCAGCUAUCCUUAAGGUUGCAGCAAACUGUCCCCCAAGCCAGCC
rnacentral:sRNA from 2 species